rnacentral:rRNA from 1 species
UACGUAGGGGGCAAGCGUUGUCCGGAAUCAUUGGGCGUAAAGAGCGUGUAGGCGGCCCGGUAAGUCCGCUGUAAAAGUCAAAGGCUCAACCUUUGAAUGUCAGUGGAUACUGCCGGGCUAGAGUCCGGAAGAGGCGAGUGGAACUCCUGGUGUAGCGGUGAAAUGCGCAGAUAUCAGGAGGAACACCAAUGGCGAAGGCAGCUCGCUGGGACGUGACUGACGCUGAGACGCGAAAGCGUGGGGAGCAAACAGG